rnacentral:rRNA from 1 species
CCUACGGGGGACAGCAGUGGGGAAUAUUGCACAAUGGGGGAAACCCUGAUGCAGCGACGCCGCGUGAGUGAAGAAGUCCUUCGGUAUGUAAAGCUCUAUCAGCAGGGAAGAAAAUUACGGUACCUGAGUAAGAAGCCCCGGCCAACUACGUGCCAGCCGCCGCGGUACUACGGAGGGGGCAAGCGUUAUCCGGAUUUACUGGGUGUAAGGGGAGCGUAGACGGCAGUGCAAGUCUGGAGUGAAAGGCGGGGGCUCAACCCCCGGACUGCCCUGGAAACUGUACGGCUGGAGUGCAGGAGAGGUAAGUGGAAUUCGUGGUGUAGCGGUGAAAUGCGUAGAUAUUAGGAGGAACACCAGUGGCGAAGGCGGCUUACUGGACUGUAACUGACGUUGAGGCUCGAAAGCGUGGGGAGCAAACAGGAUUAGAUACCCCGGUAGUC